GGCGGACGACAGAAGGUGAUAAAAUUGAAGAAGUUUAUUUCAACGAUUGAUAAUUAUCUUUUAGCCAUGGAUAUUUUAGAUGAUGAAAGCAAAACUUGGUGGCUCAUUUGCCCUUCAAACCAUACAAAAAGACUCAAGCUAACUUUAGAGAAAUUGUCACUCUACAAUCAUCAAAGAAAGAUAUUGCCUUUGGAGGAAGACAAUGGUAAGCUAGCAAUACCUUUGAAAUACGAAAAGUUUCAAGACGUUUUGAACAAAGAUGAAGAGCUCAAAUCUAUAAUAGAAGAUUUCAACGUAACAAUUGAACUCAAAUAUCUUCCCCCACAAAAGAGUAACAAGUUAAAACCAAGAGACAAGCUCUGUGAAUCUGUUCGAGAAUUAUUUCUUCGCAAAGGAUUAGUUUUUAAGGAAGAUCUUUAUCAAGAUCUACCAAGUCACUGGGAAAAACAUGGAGACUUGGUUCUUCUUUCUGACCAGUGCUUCCUAUCUGAAGAAUGGUUGCACGUUGGGAAUGAACUGUGGACAGUCACUGCUGAAGCUCUGGGUGCUAAGAGGCUUGGUAAAAAAUCAGCUAUCAGAGAUAAUGACUUCAGGAGCCCAAGUGUGUGUCUCCUUUCUGGUGUAGAUGGGUGGGUGUCCCAUGUCGAUAAUGGGAUUACAUAUACCUAUGAUGUUACCAAGUGUAUGUUCUCGUCUGGAAAUAUCACGGAGAAGAUAAGAGUUGGGGCCCUUGAUUGCAGUGGGCAGACUGUCGUUGAUUUAUAUGCAGGAAUUGGUUAUUUUGUUCUUCCAUAUCUUGUGCAUGCUGGUGCCAGCAUUCUUUACGCAUGUGAGUGGAAUCCACAUGCUCUGGUUGCACUCAGAAGAAAUCUAGCAAUAAAUCAAGUGGACAAAAGGUGUACAGUAUAUGAAGGAGACAACAAGAUGUUCCCACAUAAGGGGAUUGCAGAUCAUGUCAAUUUGGGGCUUAUUCCAUCCAGUGAGGGGGCAUGGCCAGUUGCUUGUGCAGCAUUGCAUUCAGAUCAUGGUGGAUGGCUUCACAUACAUGGCAAUGUAGCAUCUAGCAAGAAAACAACAGAUGAAGAUCAGAUACGAGAAGACACAACACACACCAUGAGCUCACCAUCCUGUAACCAGAAGAUAAAACCAGAAUGGAAGGAAUGGAGCAGCUAUGUGUCAAAGAAGAUCACAGAAUUGCUGCUGCAUGAGAAUCCAUCAAGAGCAUCUACGUGGGAAGUCAGUGUACAACAUAUUGAGCAUGUCAAGUCGUAUGCUCCACACAUUGAUCACUUGGUUCUAGAUGUUAAAUGUGUACCAUUACUAGAAAAAUAGAAGCUACCUAUAGAAUUAUUUCAAAAAAGUUCUUAUCUAUUUCCUGUAUCAUUCAAGUGUCAUUCAAAGGCAGGCAAUGGAUCACAAUCCUCUCAACGGCAUCCUAAAGUCCUAUUAACUUCGUGAAACUUAAAACCCAACAAAGGGAGCCAGUUUCCCCGAC
rnacentral:misc_RNA from 1 species